rnacentral:rRNA from 1 species
GAGCGGAUGACGGGAGCUUGCUCCCGAAUUCAGCGGCGGACGGGUGAGUAAUGCCUAGGAAUCUGCCUGGUAGUGGGGGACAACGUUUCGAAAGGAACGCUAAUACCGCAUACGUCCUACGGGAGAAAGUGGGGGAUCUUCGGACCUCACGCUAUCAGAUGAGCCUAGGUCGGAUUAGCUAGUUGGUGAGGUAAUGGCUCACCAAGGCGACGAUCCGUAACUGGUCUGAGAGGAUGAUCAGUCACACUGGAACUGAGACACGGUCCAGACUCCUACGGGAGGCAGCAGUGGGGAAUAUUGGACAAUGGGCGAAAGCCUGAUCCAGCCAUGCCGCGUGUGUGAAGAAGGUCUUCGGAUUGUAAAGCACUUUAAGUUGGGAGGAAGGGUUGUAGAUUAAUACUCUGCAAUUUUGACGUUACCGACAGAAUAAGCACCGGCUAACUCUGUG